GGGAACGUGAGCUGGGUUUAGACCGUCGUGAGACAGGUUAGUUUUACCCUACCGUUGGCCGUGCUCCAAGAGUAACCGGAUUCAGUACGAGAGGAACCAUCCGAUCACGCAUUUGGUAAUGCGCUCGGCUGAAAAGCCGAUGGCGCGAAGCUACGCGUGACAUGCUAACAGCUGAACGCCUCUAAGCUUGGUAGCAGUCCUCGAUGGAGCACCACCUACCGGUCCGUCGUUAACCGACUACGUAUAGUUUUAUGAAUAGCAUUGCGAUCGCAAUUCCGAACGGCCGGACCGAUACAUCCAUUGCAGACGACUUUAAUGCGCUGCCGGGUACUGUAAGUAGCAGAGUAGCCUUGCU
rnacentral:rRNA from 1 species